CCCUGAAGCCACUCCCCUCCCCUGGAUGGGUGUGAGACAGUGGUGUCAGAUAAAGCAUCCCCCAACCCAAGGUUGGAAAGAAAGUCACAUGAGAGCGUGUGCACACAGCAUGUACAAAUUGGCAGCGGGUGGUGGGAUAGGGGUGGCUGGGGAGUUUGUGGCUUUUUGUUUCUUUUUUAUCUGGAUUGAAAGGUUACCCCUUGGCAGGUUUUUUUUUUUCCCCGGCAGGGGAAUGUUAAUUGCCCCUGAUUUGGGGGUGUCCAUGCUCUCUCUGGGUGAGUUCCCUGGGAAGGGGGGAUGGGUAGGCAUUUGUGGCAACAGUUGUUGUUCCCUGAUCUGGCAGCAGCCAGUUGGUACCCUCUUCCUCCAGCUGACUGGGGACAGACAACCCAGAAGGGCUCCUGUAAGACCUACACUGGCACCUCCAGGUAGUAGCCAAGACUGGGCCCCAUUCCUGCAGAGCAGACCUCACUCAGUCCAAUCAGUGUUGGGGCUACUGUGGCCCUCAGAGUCUUCUUCAUCUGCACCUUUGGAUUCUCAUGCCCCCCUUCCCACCCAGGGGUCAUCCUCCUCACCUCUGAGGUGAUACAUUCUCCUUCCUCAGGGACCUUAACAGUGGACUGACUCUUUGGGGGGGAUCUAAAGGAAGUGAGACAAGUCCUCUUUGCUGGGAUAAGUCUGGAGGGAGUGUGAAAUUGUGAGGGAAAUUGUGAGGAGCCUCACAAAGCACCCUACAUUCCUGAUACUAUGGACCAUCUACAUAAUCAUUGUUUUGCCUGAAAGAUCCCCACCCAUUCCAUUCUUUUGAUCUAUCUUCUUUCUACCCUCAAGACCCUCCCUGCCUGCAGGGUAAUAUUAAUCCUACCAGUUAAAACCCUCACAACAGUUGCUAAGGAAGUUUCUGCCUUCCCAGCCCCCUUUUGCCGUUCUCCACCCUUUCCUAGCCAUUUCUGUUUCCGACUUGCCAUGUCCAGGUCUAGCCUUUUAAAAGCCUAGGCUUUCUGAUCAAUAAAGAAUAUUGCAUUGUC